rnacentral:ncRNA from 1 species
UAAAAGUUUUAUUCUAGCUUAGAAAUUUAAUUUUUAAAUUGGUUACAUGUAAAUUUAAGUGUGUGUUUAGUAUUUUUUAAAUGGAAAUAUCAAUAAUAUAGAUCAAUAAAGUCGCAGUAUAGAAUCUUGAAAAUGAGGGAGAUUUUGAUUUGGGGAUUUAAAAUAGUAUUGACAAAAUUUGUGCCAGCAGUUGCGGUUAUACAGAUAAUGCAAUUAAAUUUGUUCAGUGGGUAGUUAGUAUGUAUAUAAUAUAAUAGUCUAUUAAGUUUAUUAGGUGAAAUUUUAAACUUAGUUAAUGUUUUAAAGAUAGAUAUAAGGCUAUGAAAUUUUUAAAAUAAACUAGGAUUAGAUACCCUAUUAUUUAAAAUGUAAAUUUAUCACACUAGAGUAGUAAUAGUUAUGUUCUUGAAAUUUAAAGAAUUUGGCGGUAUUUUAGUCUAUUCAGAGGAACCUGUCCUAUAAUUGAUAGUCCACGAUUUAUUGUACUUGCUUUAAAGGUUUGUAUACCGUCGUAGAUGGAAUGUUUUAAAAGAAUUAAGAAUGUUCAUAAUGUAUUAUUAAAUAACAAAAAUCAGAUCAAGGUACAGCGUAUAAGUAAGAAGAGAUGGGUUACAAUAAAAGUAUUUAGAUGGUUAUAAUAAUUAAAGUUGUUAUAUAAAGUGGAUUUGAGGGUAAUUUAGUUUAAUUUAACUAGAUGAUUUUAGCUCUAAAAUAUGCACAUAUCGCCCGUCGCUCCCGCUUUAAGGUGGGAUAAGUCGUAACAAAGUAGGCGUACCGGAAGGUGUGCCUGGUAAGGC